rnacentral:rRNA from 1 species
CACGUAGGGUGCGAGCGUUGUCCGGAAUUAUUGGGCGUAAAGAGCUCGUAGGCGGUGUGUCGCGUCGGCCGUGAAAACCUGCAGCUUAACUGUGGGCUUGCGGUCGAUACGGGCAUCACUGGAGUUCGGCAGGGGAGACUGGAAUUCCUGGUGUAGCGGUGAAAUGCGCAGAUAUCGGAGGAAGAACCUCGUGGCGAAGGCGGCUCUGGGCGUAUACUCGUGAGACGCGAAAGCGU